CAUCAUGCCCCUUAUGUCCUGGGCUACACACGUGCUACAAUGGGCGAUACAACGAGUUGCGAAACCGCGAGGUCAAGCUAAUCUCUUAAAGUCGUUCUCAGUUCGGAUUGCAGUCUGCAACUCGACUGCAUGAAGUUGGAAUCGCUAGUAAUCGUGGAUCAGCAUGCCACGGUGAAUA
rnacentral:rRNA from 1 species